rnacentral:rRNA from 1 species
UACAGGGGGUGCAAACGUUGCUCGGAAUCAUUGGGCGUAAAGCGCACGUAGGCGGUUCGUUAUGUCGGAUGUGAAAGCCCUUGGCUUAACCGAGGAAGUGCAUCCGAAACUGGCGAGCUAGAGUACUAAAGAGGAUCGCGGAAUUCCCGGUGUAGAGGUGAAAUUCGUAGAUAUCGGGAAGAACACCAGUGGCGAAGGCGGCUCACUGGUCCGGUACUGACGCUGAUGUGCGAAAAGCGUGGGGAGCAAACAGGG